AUGAACGCUGGCGGCGUGCCUCAUACAUGCAAGUCGAGCGAACGGACGAGAAGCUUGCUUCUCUGAUGUUAGCGGCGGACGGGUGAGUAACACGUGGAUAACCUACCUAUAAGACUGGGAUAACUUCGGGAAACCGGAGCUAAUACCGGAUAAUAUUUUGAACCGCAUGGUUCAAAAGUGAAAGACGGUCUUGCUGUCACUUAUAGAUGGAUCCGCGCUGCAUUAGCUAGUUGGUAAGGUAACGGCUUACCAAGGCAACGAUGCAUAGCCGACCUGAGAGGGUGAUCGGCCACACUGGAACUGAGACACGGUCCAGACUCCUACGGGAGGCAGCAGUAGGGAAUCUUCCGCAAUGGGCGAAAGCCUGACGGAGCAACGCCGCGUGAGUGAUGAAGGUCUUCGGAUCGUAAAACUCUGUUAUUAGGGAAGAACAUAUGUGUAAGUAACUGUGCACAUCUUGAUGGUACCUAAUCAGAAAGCCACGGCUAACUACGUG
rnacentral:rRNA from 1 species